UACGUAGGGUGCAAGCGUUAAUCGGAAUUACUGGGCGUAAAGCGUGCGCAGGCGGUUUUGUAAGUCUGUCGUGAAAUCCCCGGGCUUAACCUGGGAAUGGCGAUGGAGACUGCAAGGCUAGAGUUUGGCAGAGGGGGGUAGAAUUCCACGUGUAGCAGUGAAAUGCGUAGAGAUCCGGAGGAACACCGAAGGCGAAGGCAGUCUCCUGGCAAGUUACUGACGCUCAGGUGCGAAAGCUAGGGGAGCGAACAGG
rnacentral:rRNA from 1 species